GAAUCGGUAGCUUAAUUGGUAGAGCGCGAGUCUCAUAAGCUCGAAAAUGCAGGUUCGACCCCUGCCUGAUUCA
rnacentral:tRNA from 1 species